GACGAACCGAGCGAACGUUGUUCGGAAUCACUGGGCUUAAAGGGCGCGUAGGCGGAUCAGCAAGUCCGGGGUGAAAUCUUUCGGCUCAACCGGAAAAGGGCCUUGGAUACUGCUGGUCUGGAGGGAGGUAGGGGCAGCUGGAACUUCCGGUGGAGCGGUGAAAUGCGUUGAUAUCGGAAGGAACUCCGGUGGCGAAGGCGAGCUGCUGGACCUCUUCUGACGCUGAGGCGCGAAAGCUAGGGGAGCAAAUGGG
rnacentral:rRNA from 1 species